GACGAAGGGGGCUAGCGUUGUUCGGAAUUACUGGGCGUAAAGCGAGUGUAGGUGGUUGUCAUAGUCAGGCGUGAAAAGCCUUGAGCUCAACUCAAGAAAUGCGCUUGAUACUGGGCAGCUAGAGGACCGGAGAGGAUAGUGGAAUUCCCAGUGUAGUGGUGAAAUACGUAGAGAUUGGGAAGAACACCAGUGGCGAAGGCGGCUAUCUGGACGGUUUCUGACACUAA
rnacentral:rRNA from 1 species